UCAUUACAUCUUGAGGGUGACCAAAUUAAGGCCGAACUUCUUUUAGAGCUACCAAAAGAACAACUUCUUAAUUGGAUCUUUAACUGCAUGGCUGAACUUCAUGCUUCACUAGCAGCCCUCAUAAAGUACUAGAUUCUUUGCCGGUUCGGUUCCACCAACAUGUAAGUUGGAACCUCGACUCGCAGCUUAUAUCACACAAAUUAUAAAUAUCGGGCAGAUUUACUAUGUCGAAAGGCCGCGAAUUAACCAUGGCGGAAGCAGAACAAGAUUUGUGUUGCAUGAUCGACUUUGCAGCGCCGAACAUCAAAGCACAGGGCUACAUCAGUGUGGAUAGUUACAAGAUGCAAGCAAGCACCUUGAUGUUGUUCAAAUUUUGCAUGCAUUAUACACAGGACAUGGACA